UACGUAGGAUGCAAGCGUUGUCCGGUUUUAUUGGGUUUAACGGGUGCGUAGGCGGCCUAUUAAGUUAGUGGUAAAAACGUUCGGCUUAACCGGAUACCCGCCAUUGAUACUGAUAGACUUGAGUGCGACAGAGGGUGUUGGAAUGUGUGGUGUAGCGGUGAAAUGCUUAGAUAUCACGCAGAACACCAAUUGCGAAGGCAGAUGCCUAUGUCGUAUCUGACGAUGAGGCACGAAAGAGUGGGGAGCAAACAGG
rnacentral:rRNA from 1 species